rnacentral:rRNA from 1 species
CACGCCGUAAACGAUGAUGACUAACUAUUGCCGCGAGGCAGUGGUGAAGCAAACGCAUUAAGUCAUCCGCCUGGGAAGUACGGUCGCAAGACUGAAACUUAAAGGAAUUGACGGGACCCC